GAUCAUGGCUCAGGAUGAACGCUAGCUACAGGCUUAACACAUGCAAGUCGAGGGGCAGCAUGGUCUUAGCUUGCUAAGGCCGAUGGCGACCGGCGCACGGGUGAGUAACACGUAUCUAACCUGCCGUCUACUCUUGGACAGCCUUCUGAAGGGAAGAUUAAUACAAGAUGGCAUCAUGAGUUCACAUGUUCACAUGAUUAAAGGUAUUCCGGUAGACGAUGGGGA
rnacentral:rRNA from 1 species